CAGUAGCCACGGGAAUACAGAGGGUGCAAGCGUUAAUCGGAAUUACUGGGCGUAAAGCGCGCGUAGGUGGUUUGUUAAGUUGGAUGUGAAAGCCCCGGGCUCAACCUGGGAACUGCAUCCAAAACUGGCAAGCUAGAGUACGGUAGAGGGUGGUGGAAUUUCCUGUGUAGCGGUGAAAUGCGUAGAUAUAGGAAGGAACACCAGUGGCGAAGGCGACCACCUGGACUGAUACUGACACUGAGGUGCGAAAGCGUGGGGAGCAAACAGGAUUAGAGACCCCCGUAGUCCCUGUCUCUUAUAC
rnacentral:rRNA from 1 species